AGAAUCAACGCUGGCGGCGUGCCUAACACAUGCAAGUCGCACGAGAAAGUGGAGCAAUCCAUGAGUAAAGUGGCGCACGGGUGAGUAACACGUGAAUGAUCUACCUCCGAGUGGGGAAUAACUGAGAGAAAUCUUAGCUAAUACCGCAUAAUACCCACGGGUCAAAGCAGCAAUGCGCUUGGAGAGGAGUUCGCGGCCGAUUAGCUAGUUGGCGGGGUAAUGGCCCACCAAGGCAAUGAUCGGCA
rnacentral:rRNA from 1 species